CCCCAGACACAUUUCAAUCAAAAGCAUCUGUUUAUACCUGACAUGAAAGCAGUCAUAAAGGAAGCUUCCUAUCAGUUAUCGGGCCUUCAUCAGGGUCCAUGAUGAAGGCCACAAGCCAAAACGCAUUGGCUUGGUAGAAUGUGAGUGUGAGUUAAUACCUCAGAACGACAAAGUGGAGUUUAACCUUGACUGUGUGUCUGUACAACACACAGACUAUGAGGGCUUCAGUCCACAGACGGAGACAUUAGCAGCAGACCAGGUGGAGGCUCAGCAGCCUGUUUAUGGUCACAGGUGAUGUGAUGUCCUUCACAGUAGGUAAACUGGUUUGCGGUGUGUCUGUUUAAACCUUAAGGUCAUUCCCAAUUCUUCAGUUAUUUUAUGAACAAUUGAUAUCAGUUCAGUUUGAUUUAUAUAGCUCCAAAUCACAAGAACAGUCACCUCAAAGUACUUUGCACUAUAAAGCAGAAAGAAACCUUAGAAUCAGACUCGGGGAGGGGCGGCCAUCUGCCGUGAGCUAUCAAAGGUGUAAGGUGUAUAAGGUGUCACCUGUUCCGCUCACCUGCUUCUAUUUCAUGUCUUCAAGGUCAAACUCCGACAGUUUCACGUAUGGGAUAGUCUGCUGUCUUCUGUGUUGCUCUGAGAAUUCCUCAUUCACCAACUGCAACCAUGAGAGCAGAUAUAGAAAAACAGCUUUGAACACGUUCCUGGAUUCAUCUGCAGCAGGAGCUGAAGCUGGCUGAGCUGUUACUGUGAGAGCUGGAAUUCAAAGAACUGAGAAACACGUGUCCUGUACAUGUUACUGUUAAUCUGGAUAAUUUUCAUUUAUAUAAUUGGUGUGAGUGUUUAUAAUAUUUAGUGUCUGCUGGCUCUUUGCAGAGGGCACAGCAGAAACAAGCUCAUUUUCUGUUUAAUAAUCAGGGAUUGUUUUACUUCUCUGAUGUUUAUUGAUCCACUGUAAUGUAGAUUUUUUUUGCUCUCUAUCAGCUCAUAUUUACAAUUUUUGUCAUUUUCGUUUUUUCCUCUCAUUAAAGGUCAGAGGUCACAGUGAACACCUCCAUGUGUUGUUGGUCUGACAGAAUCUCCUGUGCUGCCACCUGCUGGUGAUGAACUGUCAGAGGGCUUCAUACACCAAUCACUAUAAGGAUGUUUUUCAAUUAUAACCUUAAUGACGUAAACUACACAGACACAAAACAGAAAAACAAACCAAAAAACAAAAACCUUCAUGAAUAUGAAAGGGGUCUGAAAGAUGUCAAGGACUAUUUACUGAAUGGAAACUUAUUACUAUUCACAUCGUGUGAACAGAAUCUGAAGCUCAGUGAUGUAUUUUGUUCAUGUUUGACCUGUUUGUGUAUUAUAAGUGUUUCAGUUUCACUCAAUGUUUCAACGUCAUGCAUUUUUCUCCUCUAAUAACAGGAUCAGACGAGUUACUGAAAAGCUGUUGUACUCUAAAAGCCAACAAUGGGACACAGAUGUAUCUUUCUUUUUCAACAGUGGGUUUCCUAUGAGCUUCUAUAAUGUAUUUGUCACGUAUUUUGUCUCUGUGAUACUGCAGGCUGACUCAGAGGUGACGUGAACUCAUACGUUUGAUGUCACACAUAUUUGCUUCAGGUGAUGCUGCCUCAGUAACUCAGUAGACUCAAUAACACAUCCAAGAAGAACAAGAUUCCUAUAAGCUUAUCAGAAAAAGGAUAUGAGCAGAGAUCUCGCUGAAACACACCUCAGGUGACCAGCAGAGGGAGAGUAAUCCACUGACCAGGUGAGCAUGCAUAUUUAAAGAAACAAAAGAAAUCUGAUGUCAGAGUGAGAUGCCAUCUGUUACUCUCUGACUCUGAGCUCUGGACUCAGACUAAAAAGACUGCAUCAUGUCUGGGUGUGUGCUGAAUCAUCAGGAUUAAUAACAUGCCAGAAAACUGAAGAAUACCUGAGGGCCUCAUUGUAGCUCACCUGGUCCCUUUACCUGAAUAACAUCCCCCAUAAACUGAUGUAAAAUGGUAAGACUGGUGCAUAAAGAUUCAGCGUCUGACCCUCUGCUGAAUGGGUCCCUCACAAUGCUCAAACACAGAGCCUCCUUUCAUGAACUGGGUUCUUAUUUUGGACCAAGCUGCACAGAAGCGACAUUUGACUAUUUUUUUCUCUAAAAACAUGAUCAUUGAUUGAUUAGGAAUUACCUGAGUGUGAAUGGGAGACAUAUCACAUGACUUAUUUAUACUCAGUGAUUGUUUUUGUUUACUGAUGAUUUGUAAAAUUAUUGAAAUUACUUUUUAAUGAAAGUAUCAGUAAUGUCUGGUUGAAAGUAAGAAAGUCAUAUUCAUAUUGUCAUAUUUUUCUACUCCUGUAUGUGGAUUCAUCGUAAAGAAUUUGAGGACGACACUGAGAUGAGCAGCAAAUAUAGGCUUCCUCACAUCUCACAGGAGGAUGAGGUGCAUUUUGUUUUAUGUAUUUAAUGUUCUAGUUUAAUUUAGUUUACAGUACACCUGUUUAACUUGCUGAUGUAAAGCACAUCACUCCAUCUGCAGUUCAGAUGCUGUGUGGUUGUGCCAGCCGCAGGCUGAAAUCUGAGACUUUUUUUUAUUGGAUUUAGGUUUGGACAUUUUUUUCAUUUGUUAGGCAGUGAAGAAGGGGCAAAGGGCAAUAAUGUUCACCAUGAACUGAUAUAAAUCAGCACAAAUUGUUACAUAAAAAUUCAGUGUUGGACUCUCUGUUCAAUGUGUCCUAUACAACUGUAAAAACCAGCCUCUGUCCGUUAAACAGCUUCUCUUAUUAUCAUGAAAAGUCUCUAAAACAUGUUUUAGAGAAAACUCACUUUCUCUGCAUGAACCUGGUUGUGUGUCACUGUCCACGUUGUGUGCAUUGCACAUUCUGUGAACUUUUAUUUUGUGGUAAAAAAAACAAAACAAAACAGAUGAAUGCUGCACUUUGUGUGCAGUUUCUUUUUAUCAUUACUCCCUCUGAAACAGCAAACAGCUAUGACCCUGUGAGACCGCUGAAGGUGAUGCAACAUCUGUCUAUGUGCUAGAAAAACAACCCAGUAUGUGUUGACUGGAGUAGACGGAGCUGGAUAACAUGCAGUGACUGUUUUCAAAGACAAUCUCUGCAGGCAUGGACGUGCACACUUAGGUCCGUUGAGAUUGCCUUAGGGGAGAGUCUCUGAUUGGCUGAAGCUGCAUGAAUGUUUGCAAUGAUUGGCCAACUG